rnacentral:rRNA from 1 species
GAUGAACGCUGGCGGCGUGCCUAAUACAUGCAAGUCGAGCGAACGGACGAGGAGCUUGCUCCUCUGACGUUAGCGGCGGACGGGUGAGUAACACGUGGAUAACCUACCUAUAAGACUGGGUUAACUUCGGGAAACCGGAGCUAAUACCGGAUAAUAUAUUGAACCGCAUGGUUCAAUAGUGAAAGACGGUUUUGCUGUCACUUAUAGAUGGAUCCGCGCCGCAUUAGCUAGUUGGUAAGGUAACGGCUUACCAAGGCAACGAUGCGUAGCCGACCUGAGAGGGUGAUCGGCCACACUGGAACUGAGACACGGUCCAGACUCCUACGGGAGGCAGCAGUAGGGAAUCUUCCGCAAUGGGCGAAAGCCUGACGGAGCAACGCCGCGUGAGUGAUGAAGGUCUUCGGAUCGUAAAACUCUGUUAUUAGGGAAGAACAAAUGUGUAAGUAACUAUGCACGUCUUGACGGUACCUAAUCAGAAAGCCACGGCUAACUACGUG